rnacentral:rRNA from 1 species
GACGAACGCUGGCGGCGUGCUUAACACAUGCAAGUCGAGCGGUAAGGCCCUUUCGGGGGUACACGAGCGGCGAACGGGUGAGUAACACGUGGGUGACCUGCCCUCAGCUCUGGGAUAAGCCUGGGAAACCGGGUCUAAUACCGGAUAUGACUCCAUGACGCAUGUUGUGGGGUGGAAAGCCUUGUGCGGCUGAGGAUGGGCCCGCGGUCUAUCAGCUUGUUGGUGGGGUGAUGGCCUACCAAGGCGACGACGGGUAGCCGGCCUGAGAGGGCGACCGGCCACACUGGGACUGAGACACGGCCCAGACUCCUACGGGAGGCAGCAGUGGGGAAUCUUGCGCAAUGGGCUAACGCCUGACGCAGCAACGCCGCGUGGAGGAUGAAGGUCUUUGGAUUGUAAACUCCUGUCAGCAGGGAAAAGCAAGCCGGCCUAACACGCCGGUGAGUUGAUUGUACCUGCAGAGGAAGCCCCGGCUAACUCUGUGCCAGCAGCCGC